CCCGUUCCCAUCCCGAACACGGAAGUCAAACCCUCUAACGCCAAUGAUACUGCACUAAAGCGGGAAAGUAGGUAGCCGCCGGGC
rnacentral:rRNA from 1 species